CCGGCGACCGGCGGACGGGUGCGCAACGCGUAUGUAACCUACCUUUGACAGGGGGAUAACAUCGAGAAAUUGGUACUAAUACCCCAUAACAUCACCGGAGGCAUCUUCGGUGGUUGAAAACUCAGGUGGUCAGAGAUGGACAUGCGUUGUAUUAGCUAGUUGGUGAGGUAACGGCUCACCAAGGCGACGAUACAUAGGGGGACUGAGAGGUCAACCCCCCACAUUGGUACUGAGACACGGACCAAACUCCUACGGGAGGCAGCAG
rnacentral:rRNA from 1 species